rnacentral:rRNA from 1 species
UGGGGAAUAUUGCACAAUGGGCGCAAGCCUGAUGCAGCCAUGCCGCGUGUGUGAAGAAGGCCUUCGGGUUGUAAAGCACUUUCAGCGAGGAGGAAGGUGGUGAACUUAAUACGUUCAUCAAUUGACGUUACUCGCAGAAGAAGCACCGGCUAACUCCGUGCCAGCAGCCGCGGUAAUACGGAGGGUGCAAGCGUUAAUCGGAAUUACUGGGCGUAAAGCGCACGCAGGCGGUUUGUUAAGUCAGAUGUGAAAUCCCCGGGCUCAACCUGGGAACUGCAUUGAAACUGGCAAGCUAGAGUCUCGUAGAGGGGGGUAGAAUUCCAGGUGGUAGCGGUGAAAUGCGUAGAGAUCUGGAAGGAAUACCGGUGGCGAAGGCGGCCCCCUGGACGAAGACUGACCGCUCAGGUGCGAAAGCGUGGGGAGCAAAACAGGAUUAGGAUAACCCUGGUAGUCCACGCUGUAAACGAUGUCGAUUUUGGAGGUUGUGCCCUUGAGGCGUGGCUUCCAGAGCUAACGCGUUAAAUCGACCGCCUGGGGAGUACGGCCGCAAGAUUAAAACUCAAA